UACGGGGGGAGCAAGCGUUGUUCGGAUUUACUGGGCGUAAAGCGCACGUAGGCGGAUUGUUUAGUCAGGGGUGAAAUCCCGGGGCUCAACCUCGGAACUGCCUCUGAUACUGGCAAUCUCGAGUCCGAUAGAGGUGGGUGGAAUUCCUAGUGUAGAGGUGAAAUUCGUAGAUAUUAGGAAGAACACCGGUGGCGAAGGCGGCCCACUGGAUCGGUACUGACGCUGAGGUGCGAAAGCGUGGGAGCAAACAGG
rnacentral:rRNA from 1 species